GACGAACGCUGGCGGCGUGCUUAACACAUGCAAGUCGAACGGAAAGGCCCUGCUUUUGUGGGGUGCUCGAGUGGCGAACGGGUGAGUAACACGUGAGUAACCUGCCCUUGACUUUGGGAUAACUUCAGGAAACUGGGGCUAAUACCGGAUAGGAGCUCCUGCUGCAUGGUGGGGGUUGGAAAGUUUCGGCGGUUGGGGAUGGACUCGCGGCUUAUCAGCUUGUUGGUGGGGUAGUGGCUUACCAAGGCUUCGACGGGUAGCCGGCCUGAGAGGGUGACCGGCCACAUUGGGACUGAGAUACGGCCCAGACUCCUACGGGAGGCAGCAGUGGGGAAUAUUGCACAAUGGGCGGAAGCCUGAUGCAGCAACGCCGCGUGCGGGAUGACGGCCUUCGGGUUGUAAACCGCUUUCGCCUGUGACGAAGCGUGAGUGACGGUAAUGGGUAAAGAAGCACCGGCUAACUACGUGCCAGCAGCCGCGGUGAUACGUAGGGUGCGAGCGUUGUCCGGAUUUAUUGGGCGUAAAGGGCUCGUAGGUGGUUGAUCGCGUCGGAAGUGUAAUCUUGGGGCUUAACCCUGAGCGUGCUUUCGAUACGGGUUGACUUGAGGAAGGUAGGGGAGAAUGGAAUUCCUGGUGGAGCGGUGGAAUGCGCAGAUAUUAGGAGGAACACCAGUGGCGAAGGCGGUUCUCUGGGCCUUUCCUGACGCUGAGGAGCGAAAGCGUGGGGAGCGAACAGGCUUAGAUACCCUGGUAGUCCACGCUGUAAACGGUGGGUACUAGGUGUGGGGUCCAUUCCACGGGUUCCGUGCCGUAGCUAACGCUUUAAGUACCCCGCCUGGGGAGUACGGCCGCAAGGCUAAAACUCAAAGGAAUUGACGGGGCCCCGCACAAGCGGCGGAGCAUGCGGAUUAAUUCGAUGCAACGCGUAGAACCUUACCUGGGUUUGACAUGGGUCGGGAGUGCUCAGAGAUGGGUGUGCCUCUUUUGGGGUCGGUUCACAGGUGGUGCAUGGCUGUCGUCAGCUCGUGUCGUGAGAUGUUGGGUUAAGUCCCGCAACGAGCGCAACCCUUGUUCACUGUUGCCAGCACGUUAUGGUGGGGACUCAGUGGAGACCGCCGGGGUCAACUCGGAGGAAGGUGGGGAUGACGUCAAGUCAUCAUGCCCCUUAUGUCCAGGGCUUCACGCAUGCUACAAUGGCUGGUACAGAGAGUGGCGAGCCUGUGAGGGUGAGCGAAUCUCGGAAAGCCGGUCUCAGUUCGGAUUGGGGUCUGCAACUCGACCUCAUGAAGUCGGAGUCGCUAGUAAUCGCAGAUCAGCAACGCUGCGGUGAAUACGUUCCCGGGGCU
rnacentral:rRNA from 1 species